rnacentral:rRNA from 1 species
GAACCUCUUAAAAGGAGGUUUUUAGUGGCGAACGGGUGAGUAACACGUAAGUAACCUGCCUUUAAGACGAGGAUAACAACCGGAAGGUUACUAAGACUGGAUAGGAAACAAAAAGGCAUCUUUUUGUUUUUAAAAGACCUUCUUACGAAGGUAUGCUUAAAGAGGGGCUUGCGCCACAUUAGUUAGUUGGUAGAGUAAAAGCCUACCAAGACGAUGAUGUGUAGCUGGACUGAGAGGUUGAACAGCCACAUUGGGACUGAGACACGGCCCAAACUCCUACGGGAGGCAGCAGUAGGGAAUUUUCGGCAAUGGAGGAAACUCUGACCGAGCAACGCCGCGUGAACGAUGAAGUAUUUCGGUAUGUAAAGUUCUUUUAUUGAAGAAGAAAAAGUAGUGGAAAAACUAUAUUGACGUUAUUCAAUGAAUAAGCCCCGGCUAACUAUGUGCCAGCAGCCGCGGUAAGACAUAGGGGGCGAGCGUUAUCCGGAAUUAUUGGGCGUAAAGGGUGCGUAGGCUGUUAGAUAAGUCUAUAAUUUAAUUUCAGUGCUUAACGCUGUCUUGUUAUAGAAACUGUCUUGACUAGAGUGAGAUAGAGGCAAGCGGAAUUCCAUGUGUAGCGGUAAAAUGUGUAAAUAUAUGGAGGAACACCAGAAGCGUAGGCGGCUUGCUGGGUCUUUACUGACGCUGAGGCACGAAAGCGUGGGUAGCAAACAGGAUUAGAUACCCUGGUAGUCCACGCCGUAAACGAUGAGUACUAAGUGUCGGGGUAAAACUCGGUACUGAAGUUAACACAUUAAGUACUCCGCCUGAGUAGUACGUACGCAAGUAUGAAACUUAAAGGAAUUGACGGGACUCCGCACAAGCGGUGGAUCAUGUUGUUUAAUUCGAAGAUACACGAAAAAUCUUACCAGGUCUUGACAUACUCUGCAAAGCUAUAUAA